AUGCUUGAUGAAAUGUGGGAGGCUGUUCCAGGUUUUGAAGAUCGAAGACAACAUACCAUCUUAAACACUAGAGACCUGAUUAGUGUACUUCAUGAGAAAAAGAAAAAUCUGGAAAUAAUGGCCAUGGUAAUGUGGACGAUUUGGUAUCGCCGUAACCAACUCCGUGUUAGUUCUAAUGUUUUUCUUAGAUCGCAAAUCCUCCAACAAGCGACCCAAUCCUUAGCUGCCUUCCAACAAAGCCAACAAGCCUCCUGUCAGCGUUCAGCAACAUGACGUCUUCCCCAUCUUGCACAGUGGAGUUCGCCCCAUAUGAAUUGUUUCAAACUGAAUUUCGACGGGGCAUCGUUUCCGGAGUUAGGUAAGGCCGGACUGGGAGUGGCUGUUCAUGAUAGCCAAGGAAACGUGAUUGCUUCAUUGUCAGAACAAGCGCCUCUACCGUUCUCAUCAGAUAUCGUGGAAGCCAUGGCAGCUGCAAGGGCUUUGGUUUUUGCUCAAGAACUGGGAAUAGCUGAUUUUAUUCUUGAAGGAGAUUCAGAAGUGGUGAUUAACUCCCUUCGCAGCAAUGAAGCCUCAUUUUCUUCGUUUGGUCACCUUCUAGAGUCAGCAAAAUCCAUACUUGUGUCAAAUAAUUGCAUAAACUUCUCCCAUGUACGUAGAAGUGGUAAUAAAAUAGCCCAUAACCUAGCUAAACAUGCAAGAAAUGUCAGAGGUUUGUCUGUGUGGGUGGAGGAUGUUCCAUCACACUUAGUUGAUGUACUUUUUGCCGAUCCUGGUUGAUUUUAUAAAAGUAAUAGUCUUCAUUCUCAAAAAAAAAAAAAAAAAAAGUUGGAUUCAUGCUCAGAAUUGCACAAAAAUUAUUUAAGUUUGCUAUAUUUGCUUCAGAACCCUAUCUUGUGUGAUAUUAAAAAGUUACACCUAAGUUAGGUAGCUUUAUCAACCAAGUCAUAAAAGAAAAAGGAACAAGGGCAUAUAUAUGCCCAUUCUAAACCCUAUGCUUUAGGAGUGGUUUUAAAUUAAACCUUAGAAUUUAAGAUUGUUACAAAUUAUAAACCUAGAUUUUCCUUGUUUUCAAAACAAACCUUGGAUUAUUGUAUCAAUUUAAACCCUCGAACAAACAUGAAAACCAAACCUAAAAGGUGAGGGUUUAAAUUAAUUUGAUUUUAAAAACAUUAAGUUCAAUUUGAAACUAACAAAACUAUAUAUAAAGUUAAAUUUGUAACAUUUUUAAAUUUCAAGGUUUGAAAUUAUAUGAUUUAAUUUGAAACUACACAGAAAAAAAAAAAAAAAAAGUAGCCUUAAUUCUAUGCCACAUUUUGCUGCAUACACUCUACAUUGUAUUAUAUACUAGAAUUUGCAUAAUUAGUAUUUACUUUUUACUUAUGAGAUAUGUUUUUUAUUUAUAUAUAAGUGAAGCUAAUAUUUUGUUUUGUUUUUGGUUACUGUCAUUAUUUCAAGGAUUUUGUAGAAGAUUAUGAGAUAUAUUUGCCAUUUAAAGCACUGCAAAGCUUGGGUUGCAAGGUUGAUGCUAUUAGCCCAAGUAAGAAAGAGGGAGAGAGCUGUGUCACUGCCAUUUAUGACAAUGAGGGAACAAGCAAGGUCAGCAGUGAGAAGCGCGGCCAUAACUUCGUCUUGACAGCCAAAUGGAAUGAUAUCUGUGUAGAAAAUUACGACUGUGUUGGGGUGCCUAGAGGGAGGUCCCUAGAGUUUCUGGUCAUGAACGAGAAGGUGGUUACUUUAGUGAAGGAAUUUGAGGAAAAGAACAAAGUCAUUGCUGAGCCUGGGAUUGGCCAAGGGUUAUGGCUCCUGACUGCUGCUGGAGUUCUCAAGGUGAAUUUCUAAGCUAUCAUAAUUCUCACAAACUCUUUAUUUUGAUAAAUGUACAUGAUAAUGCACAUUUUAAUUAGUUUUUUUAAGACUAAACUGUGGAAUUUCCAAACUUAUGAUAAAAAAACUAAUGGCCUUAUUUAACUAAGAGGAUAAGACUUCCAAUGGCUAUUGUAAUUAUAAAAAUAAAUAAAAAUUCUUUCAUAUUGUCAUAUUUGGUCAAUUUUUUUUUUCCUCAAUUAUGAAUUAUAUGUUGUAUGUUCUUGAGAAAUGGUAAUUGGGAUACUUUGGUUGUGGAUUUUCUUAGGAUAAGAAAUGUGCAAGCAGUUAUGCAAUGAAGGCUAUCGUGAAAGUUGCUGAAUCAGAAGGGUUUACUAAGUGUGUCACUCAUGGCAAGCUGGUAACUGCAAUUGGAUGGCCUGCACUGCCAACUUUUAUUUCACAACUUUCUGACACCCUUGGUUUGUCCGUGGUAUUUUGA
rnacentral:sRNA from 1 species